UACAGAGGUCCCAAGCGUUGUUCGGAUUCACUGGGCGUAAAGGGUGCGUAGGCGGUCGGGUAAGUCUGAUGUGAGAUCUCACAGCUUAACUGUGAAACUGCAUUGGAUACUAUCCGGCUAGAGGAAUGGAGGGGAGACUGGAAUUCCUGGUGUAGCGGUGAAAUGCGCAGAUAUCAGGAGGAACACCAAUGGCGAAGGCAGCUCGCUGGGACGGUACUGACGCUGAGACGCGAAAGCCAGGGGAGCGAACGGG
rnacentral:rRNA from 1 species